UUGACCUCAAAUCAGGUAGGACUACCCGCUGAACUUAAGCAUAUCAAUAAGCGGAGGAAAAGAAACUAACAAGGAUUCCCCUAGUAACUGCGAGUGAAGCGGGAAAAGCUCAAAUUUGAAAUCUGAUGGUUUUUGACCGUCCGAGUUGUAAUCUAGAGAAGUGUUUACCCGUGCUGGACUGUGUACAAGUCUCCUGGAAUGGGGCAUCGUAGAGGGUGAGAAUCCCAUCUUUGACACGGACUGCCAGUGCACUAUGGGUGUGCUCUCGAAGAGUCGAGUUGUUUGGGAAUGCAGCUCAAAAUGGGUGGUAAAUGCCAUCUAAAGCUAAAUAUUGGCGAGAGACCGAUAGCGAACAAGUACCGUGAGGGAAAGAUGAAAAGAACUUUGGAAAGAGAGUUAAACAGUACGUGAAAUUGCUGAAAGGGAAACGCUUGAAGUCAGUCGCGUUGGCCAGAAAUCAGCCUUGCUUUUGCUUGGUGUAUUUUCUUGUCUUUACGGGUCAGCAUCAAUCUUGACCAUUGGAUAAGGUCUGUGGGAAUGUGGCAUCUUUGGAUGUGUUAUAGCCCAUGGUCGCAUACGGUGGUUGGGAUUGAGGAACUCAGCACGCCCGCGAGGGACAGGUUUCGACCACGUUUUCGUGCUUAGGAUGCUGGCAUAAUGGCUUUAAUCGACCCGUC
rnacentral:rRNA from 1 species